rnacentral:rRNA from 1 species
GAUGAACGCUGGCGGCGUGCCUAAUACAUGCAAGUCGAGCGAACGGACGAGAAGCUUGCUUCUCUGAUGUUAGCGGCGGACGGGUGAGUAACACGUGGAUAACCUACCUAUAAGACUGGGAUAACUUCGGGAAACCGUAGCUAAUACCGGAUAAUAUUUUGAACCGCAUGGUUCAAAAGUGAAAGACGGUCUUGCUGUCACUUAUAGAUGGAUCCGCGCUGCAUUAGCUAGUUGGUAAGGUAACGGCUUACCAAGGCAACGAUGCAUAGCCGACCUGAGAGGGUGAUCGGCCACACUGGAACUGAGACACUGUCCAGACUCCUACGGGAGGCAGCAGUAGGGAAUCUUCCGCAAUGGGCGAAAGCCUGACGGAGCAACGCCGCGUGAGUGAUGAAGGUCUUCGGAUCGUAAAACUCUGUUAUUAGGGAAGAACAUAUGUGUAAGUAACUGUGCACAUCUUGACGGUACCUAAUCAGAAAGCCACGGCUAACUACGUG